rnacentral:rRNA from 1 species
ACGCUCGACACCUACGGGAGCAGCAGUGAGGAAUAUUGGUCAAUGGGCGCUAGCCUGAACCAGCCAAGUAGCGUGAAGGAUGAAGGCUCUAUGGGUCGUAAACUUCCUUUAUAUAAGAAUAAAGUGCAGUAUGUAUACUGUUUUGUAUGUAUUAUAUGAAUAAGGAUCGGCUAACUCCGUGCCAGCAGCCGCGGUAAUCUGAGCGGGCUGGCAAGGC